rnacentral:lncRNA from 1 species
CAAGGUCAUUUUUGGAAACUAAAAGUCAUCUUCAUUUUCAUAGCCACCUCUUCUUCUUCAUUCUCUUGUAUGCAAAUUCUGAUAAAUGUCACUGUUGUUACCCCAUCAGUAAGCUUAGCUCUGCUUCAUCUCCGCCUUGUUCAGCUAAGCUAAGUAUCAUAUCUUAAUUCUCUUUAAUCUAAUCUAUAGUUCAAUGUAUUGAGCUUAACUGGAAGCUAAUACCACCACUUAAACUACCUACUAAAUUUAGGAAAUUAAAGAUUUGAACUUUGUAGUCUCAAAGGUGUUGAUGAUUGUUAAUAAUUCUUAGGAAUUUUGUGUUUGAAUCUGAAAAGUCUACUGUUUGAAUAACCCAACCUUCAAUAUCCUCAGAUCUCACUGGAUGUAGGUGUUGUAUUCAAAAGAAGUCAUUUUUAACAGUAGAUUUAUUCAUCUCCACAGUUAAUCCUCAAAAAUAUUACAUCAUCUAUUCACACCUUUUAUGUACUCUGCUUAUAGGUUAUUGAUGGUGUUCCCCAAUUUUAAUCCACCUAGAUGCAUUCUGAAGUGUAGUAUUAUCAGUUAUUUUUCAAGUUAGCCCCUUCUUACCCUUGUAAUUGAACUUGAUCUUGAUUAUAUCCUCUAUCUCAUUGUGGCCAUUCCAGUCGUGAUCAUUGUUUGUUAUGAUUGCUGACCACUCUUGUGUAUGAUUUCUAUGAUUAAAACUGAUAUUGUGUUCCAUCUUAAUGAGAUAUUUGUUUGAUGUUUGGAG